CAUGCAAGUCGAACGGAGCUUAGAGAGCUUGCUUUUUAAGCUUAGUGGCGAACGGGUGAGUAACGCGUGAGUAACCUGCCCUAGAGUGGGGGACAACAGUUGGAAACGACUGCUAAUACCGCAUAAGCCCACGGUACCGCAUGGUACUGAGGGAAAAGGAUUUAUUCGCUUUAGGAUGGACUCGCGUCCAAUUAGCUAGUUGGUGAGGUAACGGCCCACCAAGGCGACGAUUGGUAGCCGGACUGAGAGGUUGAACGGCCACAUUGGGACUGAGACACGGCCCAGACUCCUACGGGAGGCAGCAGUGGGGGAUAUUGCACAAUGGGGGAAACCCUGAUGCAGCGACGCCGCGUGGAGGAAGAAGGUUUUCGGAUUGUAAACUCCUGUCGUUAGGGACGAUAAUGACGGUACCUAACAAGAAAGCACCGGCUAACUACGUGCCAGCAGCCGCGGUAAAACGUAGGGUGCAAGCGUUGUCCGGAAUUACUGGGUGUAAAGGGAGCGCAGGC
rnacentral:rRNA from 1 species